CAUUCAUCGCAUGGUCAACCAGAAUAACAAGCUAAAGUCGUUGGACCUUACCUUCAAGGAGGAUCACAUUGUCCAUCUGGUUUUUGCUUCGUUACCAAAAGAGUUUGACACGUUUGUUGUCAAUUACAACACCCAACCGCAGACUUGGGAUAUUGAAAAGACCAUCGCAGUGUGUUCAGGAGGAGGAAAGAAUAAGAUCCACCACUGGCGGAUCUUUAAAUUAUGUAAAUAAGAAGAAAAAUACCAAUUUCAAGGGUAAUUUUUCUUCCUCCUCUAAAGGCAAAAACUCUCAACAACACAGACCGCAGGAGGGAUAGGCUCUAGUAGAUAAAGAUCAGUGUCUCUACUGCAAAGAGAGGGGUCACUACAAGAAGAACUGUCACAAAUAUUUAAAGAUGAUCAUGAAAAAGAGAGGGAUUCCAUUCGACGAGAACCACUCAAAGAAGCGAAAAGCAAGUUAGAGUGGCAAAUGGAGAUCAGGCAGACGUUGAAGCAGUAGGAGAUGUUCAUUUGGAACUCGACACUGGCUUCAUUAUUGUACUUAGAGAUGUUUUAUUUGUUCCUUCUUUACACAGAAACUUAAUUAGUGUGUCUCGCCUGGACAAAGAUGGUUAUUCUUAUCUAUUUGAAGAUGAGAAAUGCUUGAUCGAA